UCUCGAGUUUCGUGUGAAUUUAGUCGUAUACGAACACUUUCGUAUGGCGUGUUUCGUGUACGAAUCGUUCACAUAUGAAAACGGUAUUCUGGAGCACUAUACGAAUCACUGAUUCGUAUACGUAUGAAACAGUAUUGCCAGAUUUACGCGUUGGAGACGAACCAAUGAUUGUUCAACUUUAGAAAAUACCAACGGAAAUAUACAUGGCGUCCUGUCAAUGUCACGUGUAGUUUUCCGUAAAGGAGAACGCUGUGCAAGAGGCCCUAGCCGUCCGUUUAUUACACUCUAGUUGUAAUGUUUUAUUGCGGCCACGGGAUGCGACGGUACUUCCGAGUGACCAUGUGUUUUCCCAAAUUUAGAAACUUGGCAGUAUUAACCGAGAAGCGUUUGAGGAAAGGCAGUAUUAUCCCACAAGCGUUUGCGGAAAUAUCGUGGAAAGAAUUGCGUGAAACAAAAAUGUGCGACGAGGGUAAACCAACUAAACGAACAGGGAACAUAUCCCGCGAGCAAAAAGAAAUUCUUAUUGAAUGUAUAGAAUCAAACCCAAACCUAACGAGGUCAACAUUUUCGGCCGACUAUACGUAGAAAGAUGGGCAGCGUUUGUGGCAAAAAAUAACCAAUAUUUUAAACGCUUCGCCAGGGGCGAAGAAAGAUUCGAAACAAUGGAGACGUGUAAGUGUUUACAUAGUGUUUAUAAGUGUUUUAUAUUCAAUUUUGCAAAAGCUGCAUUAACAUAUUUUUUUUCCUUUGUAAAAUAGACGUGGCAAGAUUUCCGAGGAAAAGCGAAGGCAAAGCAGUCUUCUAUUAACAGAAAUUUAAAUGCCACAGGCAGUGGUCCGUUAAAUACAGAAAGUUUAUCGGUGGAGGAGAAACGUGUCCUAAACACAAUCCAUGCAACACAAGUAAAGGGUGAUUACAGUAUAGAUGAAACGCCGAUACAAUUUGACUACUCCGAAGAAUAUUUAGAUACAGACUUGGUGGACAAUGAGAAGGUGGAAAACCAGCAGACUCAACCUGGCCCUUCAAUAAUAGUAGAGAGACCGACGAUUAAGAUAGAAAAAGUGAGACAGAAACACCCUCUACGUCGAGCCACUAAACUACAAAAACAAACCUCUGGCAUGAAAUCACAAGCUUUCAGUGCUUCUGACACGAAUAGCCGAGGAAGAUAAAGAAAAUAGAAAGGAAUAUUAUAAUAAAAAAUUGGCAUUGCUGGAGAGGAAUGUAGUAGCUAAAGAAAGAAUUGCGGUAGCCUUAGAAACUUUAGCUACUACACAUUACGGAUGAAACAUAUGAAAGUUCUAUCUUUCGAAAAUUUGCAUAGUAUAAUAAAUUUCAAUUUUGAAUUAGAAGGUAAUUAUUUAAGUUAUUCUUGAUUACUUUGUUUUUAGUAAUUAUGCAAUACCUUAUUCUUAAUUACUGAAUAAUUCAAUUACUUAUAACUACCCAGAAAGUAAUUAAGAGGUAUCCCAAAUCUAAAGUAUAUAACAUUACCUCAAAAUAAUUAAAAAGUAAUUAUAAUUAUCUUUUAAUUACUUUUAGAUAUUUUUAUUUACUUUAGAUUUGGAAUACCUUUUAAUUACUUUCUGGGUAGUUAUAAGAAAUUAUUUAAAAGUAAUUGAAUUACUCAGUAAUUAAGAAUAAUGUAUUGCAUAAUUAUUAAAAAGAAAGCACUCAAGAAUUACUUAAAAUUUAAGUAACUCGUUGU